GCGCAUAUGGCCGAGUGGUUUAAGGCGAUGGUUUUAAGAUUUAGUUUUAAACACCAUUAUCGAGAGAUGCCUGGGUUCGAACCCCAGUGUGCGCA